GAUGAAGAACGCAGCGAAAUGCGAUAAGUAAUGUGAAUUGCAGAAUUCAGUGAAUCAUCGAAUCUUUGAACGCACAUUGCGCCCGGCAGUAAUCUGCCGGGCAUGCCUGUCCGAGCGUCAUUUCAGCCCUCGAGCCGCUGCUCUGUCUGCAGCCGGGUCGGUGUUGGGGCACUACGGUAAAACGUAGGCUCCGAAAUGAAGUGGCGGUCCCGCCGCGGCGCCCCCAUGCGUAGUAACGUCUAAGUCUCGCAUCGGGUCCCGGCGGAGGCCUGCCGUCAAGCCUUUUCUCUCAAGAAGUUUGACCUCGGAUCAGGUAGGGUUACCCGCUGAACUUAAGCAUAUCAAUAAGCGGAGGA
rnacentral:misc_RNA from 1 species